rnacentral:lncRNA from 1 species
AUGACAAUUUUCUUCUCCUCGUUUGCACCCCUACACUUCUUCAGCAAACUGAUGUUGCUGGCCCCUGUGCGAGUGGUACGAGACCACCUGACUGCGGAGAAGUAUUUCGUCUUCAACGAGUGCCAAUUCCGGAUUAACUCCUUCUUGGCCUUACUCAUGGCCGUCCUCGAGCUUUUCUCUUUGCGUUGGCGGUUUCAAGAGAUCAAAAAUAUGGAGCUGCGCCACAACAUCAACGAAUUAAAUGAAAACUCCUCCCACUUCAUCCCUGACAGCAUGUCCAUCUUCGCCGUUGUCAUCUUAUCGCAGAUAACUCUGGCCAUAUCAGGGGUGAUAAAAUCAAAAACCAGUUUCAAGCUCCUUGUCAGCUUCCACGACACCCUGUGUCGAAUCGACAACCAGUUGGAGCGGCCAGCGAAGGGCGGGAAAUUCAAAUACGUGGCCUGCGUCCACCUCAGCCUGCUCGUAGGGCUACUGCUGAUGGAUUAUUCGGUAUGGAAGUUCACGCUUUCCGAGGACGGGGUGUUUUUUUCGCACGCUCUAAGCCGGACCAUGUGCGCCACCAUCUUGGUCCAGUACGAGGACGCUGUUUCUAGUCUCCGAGCUCGUUUCCGGUGCAUCAAUUUUGAGUUACAACGUGAACUGGCUGAUUACUUCCGGGAGGACUGUCUCGAGUUAGCCACCAAGCGCAAAAUCAAGGUCAUGCCAGCGCGUACCCUCUCGCGGCGACGAGUGGGCGACCUGUUCCAGCUGUUCUGGCUCACAUGUCGCGGGGUGCAGCAAGUGAACGAGGUCUACGGGAACCUCAUCUUUGCCCUCUUGGUGAUGACGUCACUCCAACUGAUCAUCAUACCGCACUAUUUUCUGAUCACCAUGUUCAACACCACUGAACCCGUGACGGAGGAGGACAAGAUUUGCGCCGUCGCCGACUCUCUCUGGCUUGGCUUCUUCUGCGUCCAGCUUUUUGUUCUCGUCAUUCCACCUGCCCUCGCGUCUGCUGAGGCUAAUAGAACGGUGGUGAUUGUUUGCAACUAUUUGAACACGAAUACAGAGGAAUACUUUCUGGAAGAGUUGAAGGCGUUUGUCUUCCGUCAGAGUGGCGCAUCUUUUGAAUUUGUCGCAACGAACAUUGUAAAACUCAAGUUACCUUUGCUGACAUCAGUAAUUGGUGUGACGGCAACGUAUUUGCUGGUCUCCAUCCAAAUUCGAAAGGCUGUUUCUGACAUGUAAUAGCUGAUCUCUCCUCGGAAUUCUCACAAAAUUUAUUGAAAGUAAAGCUACUAAAUUAUCCAUAGUAUAAGAAAUUAACUUCGUUCAAAUGAAUAUUGCUGCAAAUAUCCGAAUAAAAAAUUGACUUUUACUGACUCAACUUGACUGUCGAAAGGAAAACAUUGAAAUUCAGCACACGCAGUGCAGAGUAAUAUUUUUGUUGUUCACUGACCUAAAAAAAGUCUAGAUAUUAUGAAUUGACAAUUAGAUACAUGAAAAUAAUUUGCUUCCAGGACUUUAUGUCCACCUACCUUUCGUCCAUUAAAUAAAUGUCCACCAAACGUUAAGUCCAGUCUUUAUUAAGUCCAAAUGAUUUAAUGUCCAACCACGAAUAUGCCUAGAAUUGUCCAAAUUUUGGACAUGUUAUGUCCACAUUUUUUUCUUCUCAUUUAAAUGACAGGAACCACCGAACCACCUCAAAAAUAAAUGCAUACUACGACUACCUUUCAUUCUUAAAAACAUUUCAUUCAUGAAUCAAGUCAUGAAAGAGAACUGACUCCAAGAGCAGAUAAAAGCAUAUGUUCAUGGUAUACACUGUACAAAUAUGAUAAGAUGAAAACCAAAGCGGGAGCCUAGGAAACGCUCCAAUGCCAAAUUAAACAUUUUUCAGUAACAGAUGCAGUCAAAAUUGAAAGUCCUCUUCAACUAGUUAUUUUGUGCGCCUUCAAUC